rnacentral:misc_RNA from 1 species
UACAAAGAUGGUUUCUUGCCGUAUUAUAAUUCCUGCGCAUCCAUGAAGAUUCGAUUUCGCGGCCCCAUAGACUUACGA